CCUACGGGAGGCAGCAGUGGGGAAUAUUGCACAAUGGGGGAAACCCUGAUGCAGCGACGCCGCGUGAGCGAAGAAGUAUUUCGGUAUGUAAAGCUCUAUCAGCAGGGAAGAAAAUGACGGUACCUGAGUAAGAAGCUCCGGCUAAAUACGUGCCAGCAGCCGCGGUAAUACGUAUGGAGCAAGCGUUAUCCGGAUUUACUGGGCGUAAAGGGAGCGUAGGCGACCUGCCAAGUCUGAUGUGAAAUACCGGGGCUCAACCCCGGGGCUGCAUUGGAAACUGGCAGGCUGGAGUGUCGGAGAGGCAGGCGGAAUUCCUAGUGUAGCGGUGAAAUGCGUAGAUAUUAGGAGGAACACCAGUGGCGAAGGCGGCCUGCUGGACGGUGACUGACGCUGAGGCUCGAAAGCGUGGGGAGCAAACAGGAUUAGAUACCCCUGUAGUC
rnacentral:rRNA from 1 species